ACACAGCCCAGCGGCAGGAAGUCAGCCUCUCAUUACCUCCCCUGAGCUCCUGCACAAACAGAGCAGGCUCAUCCCCACCCCUGGGAGGGAUACUGACUGCCAGCCGAGCCUCCACGCCCCACUUCCUAAGACACAGACGUGGCACCAAGGCCUCCCAGGCAGUGGACUUGGAGGAACGGCAAGCUUCAAAGGCUGUCGGAGCUGAAAUGGAUCUUGGAGAUCGCCCAGAUCCUCCGCCUCUGUUUUACGGAUGCAGAAUCUGACACCCCAGAAAGGAAGAGACCCGGGCGCGCUUGACCCUGGGAGCCCCUUCCGGCCUAGGAAGUUUGUCUCCUUGCUCUGCGAUGAUGAUGAAGCUCUUCAGCGCUCCACCCCCAACUUCUGGGGCUGUGAUUGGACACAGAGCUGGACGGAUUGUCUUUGCUUAGGAAUCUGUGUGGGGACCCAAGGAGCAGGAAGCAGCUGAGAUGCCGCCAGUUAACACUG